rnacentral:lncRNA from 1 species
GUAUCUUCUCAGUUAUCCAUCUCUCUUUCUCUUUUCCAUUACAACUAAUCACCACCACAUCAUUUCCGGCUACCACCGCCAUCAAUUCCGGCCACCUGAAACCUAUCUAAACCCAUCUCCCCGACUUAAAAAACGCACAUGUAACCCAAAAAAAUAGCCUGAACCCUAGCAUAUUCGGAUUUCAGAUCCAGUCUUGUGGAUUUAGAUCCGCCGCCAUCCUGGUCUUUUAAUUCAGAUCUAGUCUUGAGGUAGGUGGGUAUGACCCAAACAGGUUCGCCGCCAACGAACUAGGGCAUGGCCCAAAUCAUUGGCUAGUGGUGGUGGGUGGUUUCCGGCUAUGGUGGAGGUUUCUGGUGUGGUGGAGGAUAGGGUUUUCAAAUUUAGAAAAGGGUUUAAAAUUUAAAGAUUGUGGUAAUGGUUGGUUGUGGUGGUUUGAUGUUGGUGUUUGCCGGUAAUGAUAGUUGGUGGUAUUUGUGGCUAAAUUUAUGUUUUAGGUGUUCUGUUCUUUAAAAUUAGAUGGUGAAAGCAAAUAUUUUUGUGGGAGAAGAUGAUUUGAAGCAUAUAUCUAAACAUGUUAAUGAGAUAGAUGGAGGUCCUGUAAAUAUAAUCUAAUAUGCUCUUUCUUGAUCCUUUUUUGAUUGUUGUGAUGGGUUUGGUACCACUAGACUUGUUGUUGUUUUUAGUGAGUGCAGGUAAU